rnacentral:siRNA from 1 species
CUGCUGGUAACACCUAAAGCCU